rnacentral:rRNA from 1 species
CCUACGGGAGGCAGCAGUGAGGAAUAUUGGUCAAUGGACGAGAGUCUGAACCAGCCAAGUAGCGUGAAGGAUGACUGCCCUAUGGGUUGUAAACUUCUUUUAUAUGGGAAUAAAACAGGGUAUGCAUACCCUCUUGUAUGUACCAUAUGAAUAAGGAUCGGCUAACUCCGUGCCAGCAGCCGCGGUAAUACGGAGGAUCCGAGCGUUAUCCGGAUUUAUUGGGUUUAAAGGGAGCGUAGGUGGAUUGUUAAGUCAGUUGUGAAAGUAUGGGGCUCAACCGUAGAAUUGCAGUUGAAACUGGCAGGCUUGAGUACAGUAGAGGUGGGCGGAAUUCGUGGUGUAGCGGUGAAAUGCUUAGAUAUCACGAAGAACUCCGAUUGCGAAGGCAGCUCACUGGACUGCAACUGACGCUGAUGCUCGAAAGUGUGGGUAUCAAACAGGAUUAGAUACCCCGGUAGUC